CUGCCAUCUCAAGUUACUGACAUCUUAACCAACUUCCCAAACUCUUCUCAAGUGCAGUCUCCUCUACAGAGUCUUGAUCCUGGCCACCAGAGGUCACUUCUUCCUGCAACUGUGAUGUCAGGCCGCCUAGGAUCUAAUGCUGGCCCAGCACGUUCCUGACUGCGGGACCCUGGGCAGAUGUGAUGAAUACUACUACAAUGACAACAUACAUUUAUGUACCUGCCAUGUGCCAGCAGUGAUCCAAGCACUUUAUAUGCUAUGUUUACCCUGAAUCGUCACGACAAAUUGUGCUGCUAUUGGUUUCGGGAGAAAUGUUUUCUGAGCCUACCUGUCAAAGAGAAACUUAUAAAAGGCUGCAGAAGGCCCAGUUCGGUACCAGAGAUAUAACUGCAAACAACACAGUCCCUACACUCAAGGAGUUCCUGUCCAGUGAAGGUGGGAAGACAAUCAGAUUGAAUGCCAACAAGGUC